rnacentral:rRNA from 1 species
AUUGAACGCUGGCGGCGUGCUUUACACAUGCAAGUCGAACGGCAACAGGCCGCAAGGUGCUGACGAGUGGCGAACGGGUGAGUAAUGCAUCGGAACGUGCCCAGUCGUGGGGGAUAACGCAGCGAAAGCUGCGCUAAUACCGCAUACGAUCUAUGGAUGAAAGCGGGGGGCCGAAAGGCCUCGCGCGAUUGGAGCGGCCGAUGUCAGAUUAGGUAGUUGGUGGGGUAAAGGCCCACCAAGCCAACGAUCUGUAGCUGGUCUGAGAGGACGACCAGCCACACUGGGACUGAGACACGGCCCAGACUCCUACGGGAGGCAGCAGUGGGGAAUUUUGGACAAUGGGCGCAAGCCUGAUCCAGCAAUGCCGCGUGCAGGAAGAAGGCCUUCGGGUUGUAAACUGCUUUUGUACGGAACGAGACGGUCCGGGUUAAUACCCUGGGCUAAUGACGGUACCGUAAGAAUAAGCACCGGCUAACUACGUGCCAGCCGCCGCAGUAACAC